CCUCCUCGAUCUGCUGCGGGCAGAUAUAAUGGAUAUGCGCAUCCAUGCCGCCCGCAGUGAGGAUCUUGCCUUCUCCCGCGAUCACCUCCGUCGAGGGGCCGACGAUGAUGGUGACGCCCGGCUGCGUAUCCGGAUUGCCAGCCUUGCCGAGCCCGGCGAUACGCCCGUUCUUCAGGCCGACAUCCGCCUUGAAGAUCCCGCUAUGGUCGAUGAUCAGCGCAUUGGUGAUCACGGUAUCGACGGCGCCCUCGGCGCGCGUCGCCUGGCUCUGCCCCAUACCGUCGCGGAUG
rnacentral:sRNA from 1 species